rnacentral:rRNA from 1 species
GUAGGGUGCAAGCGUUAUCCGGAUUUAUUGGGCGUAAAGGGGGUUCGUAGGGCGGGUUUAUUAAGUUUUUGAUUAAAGACCAAAGCUCAACUUUGGACAAGUCAAAAAAACUAAUAAACUAGAGAGUAUUAGGGAGUGCUGAACACCUAGUGUAGGGGUGAAAUCCGUUGAUAUUAGGUGGAACACCAAGGGCGAAGGCAAGCACUUAGGAUACUUCUGACGCUGAUGAACGAAAGCUAGGGGAGCGAAGCGGAUUAGAGACCCGCGUAGUCCUAGCCGUAAACGAUGUUCGCUAGCUAUCUGUUUUUAAAUAGGUGGCGCAAGUUAACACGUUAAGCGAACCGCCUGGGGAGUACGGCCGCAAGGCUA